UACAGAGGUCUCAAGCGUUGUUCGGAUUCAUUGGGCGUAAAGGGUGCGUAGGCGGCGCGGUAAGUCGGGUGUGAAAUCUUGGAGCUUAACUCCGAAACUGCAUUCGAUACUGCCGUGCUUGAGGACUGGAGAGGAGACUGGAAUUUACGGUGUAGCGGUGAAAUGCGUAGAUAUCGUAAGGAAGACCAGUGGCGAAGGCGGCCUUCUGGACGGUGACUGACGCUGAGGCGCGAAAGCGUGGGGAGCGAACAGG
rnacentral:rRNA from 1 species